rnacentral:rRNA from 1 species
AUUCCAGCUCCAAUAGCGUAUACUAAAGUUGUUGCAGUUAAAAAGCUCGUAGUUGAAUUUCUGGUCUCGGACAGCGGUCUGCCUCAAACGAGGUACGCACCACCUGUUCAGGUCCAUCCUCGGAGAAAACAUGCCUGUGAUUCAGUUCAUGGGUAUGGGAUCUUCGUCAUUUACUGUGAGCAAAAUAUAGUGUUCAAAGCAGGCUUAUGCCGUUGAAUACAUUAGCAUGGAAUAAUAAAAUAAGACCUUGGUCUAUUUUGUUGGUUUCGAACACCGGAGUAAUGAUUAACAGGGACAGUCAGGGGCACUCGUAUUCCGCCGAGAGAGGUGAAAUUCUCAGACCAGCGGAAGACGAACCACUGCGAAAGCAUCUGCCAGGGAUGUUUUCAUUG